rnacentral:rRNA from 1 species
UACGUAGGGGGCGAGCGUUGUCCGGAAUCAUUGGGCGUAAAGCGCGUGUAGGCGGCCCGGUAAGUCCGCUGUGAAAGUCCAGGGCUCAACCCUGGGAUGCCGGUGGAUACUGUCGGGCUCGAGUCCGGAAGAGGCGAGUGGAAUUCCUGGUGUAGCGGUGAAAUGCGCAGAUAUCAGGAGGAACACCAAUGGCGAAGGCAGCCUUCUGGGCCAACACUGACGCUCAUGCACGAAAGCGUGGGGAGCAAACAGG